UGAGCAAUCUACCCUUCUCAUCGGAAUAAGCGUUGGAAACGACGUCUAAUGCCGAAUACGACCUCCUUUCGCAUGAUCGGAGGUGGAAAGCUCCGGCGGAGAAGGAUGAGCUCGCGGCCUAUCAGCUAGUUGGUGUGGGUAAUGGCCCACCAAGGCGACGACGGGUAGCCGGCCUGAGAGGGUGACCCGGCCACACUGGGACUGAGACACGGCCCAGACCUCCGUACGGGAGNAG
rnacentral:rRNA from 1 species